rnacentral:tRNA from 77 species
GGAGGAAUACCCAAGUCCGGCUGAAGGGAUCGGUCUUGAAAACCGACAGGCGGGUUAAACCGCGCGGGGGUUCGAAUCCCUCUUCCUCCGCCA